GACGAACGCUGGCGGCGUGCCUAACACAUGCAAGUCGAACGGAAAGGCCCUGCGUGUGUGCGGUGCUCGAGUGGCGAACGGGUGAGUAACACGUGAGUAACCUGCCCUUGACUUUGGGAUAACUUCAGGAAACUGGGGUUAAUACCGGAUAGGAGCUCCCGCUGCAUGGUGGGGGUUGGAAAGUUUCGGCGGUUGGGGAUGGACGCGCGGCUUAUCAGCUUGUUGGCGGGGUAGUGGCAUACCAAGGCUUUGACGGGUAGCCGGCCUGAGAGGGUGGCCGGCCACAUUGGAACUGAGAUACGGCCCAGACUCCUACGGGAGGCAGCAGUGGGGAAUAUUGCACAGUGGGCGGGAGCCUGAUGCGGCAACGCCGCGUGCGGGAUGACGGCCUUCGGGUUGUAAACCGCUUUCGCCUGUGACGACGCGUGAGUGACGGUAAUGGGUGAAGAAGCACCGGCUAACUACGUG
rnacentral:rRNA from 1 species